GAUUUUUGUACAUUGAGCACUGGAACAGGCUGCCCAGGGAGGCUGUGGAGUCUCCCUCUCUGGAGACAUUCCAAACCCACCUGGAUGCAUUCCUGUGUAACCUGCACUGGAUGCCCCUGUCUUGGUGGGGGAGUUGGACUGGGUGAUCUCCAGAGGUCCCUUCCAGCCCUAACAAU